rnacentral:lncRNA from 1 species
CCCUGUAGGAGGCUGUCAUCUCCCGGCAGUGCGGCACCGCUGGUGCCGGUCUCACGCAUGCGCCCUCCUUCUGACUGCUGGGCACACACAGGCAGGGUGCACGUCACCUGCUCCCUCAGCUUUCCACCGCAAUCUGCCUUUGUUCCCAAAUCCUGAGCAGAUCGCUUGGUUGACAAUCAGAACCUGCUAACAUCAAACAGCUGCCUCAGACAGGUGUGCUGUACAGUUAGUUACCUGCUGCUUGCUUUCCUCAGCAGGGACUGAGACGACAGUCAAACCCGGAUCUAAGUUGCCAGCUUUCAGAGACCCAAAGCUCGAUCUUACUUUCUGUUUUGUUGUUGUUGUUGUUUUGUUUGUUUGUUUGUUUCAGGCUUGGAAAUUCACCCUAAAAAUAGCGCCUCUCGGUGUUCAUCGAUGUAUGCCUGGGCAAAGUGUUCGUACAGCAACCCCGCGGAUUCUGCAGUUCUUUGUCCACUGGAACCGGCACCGAGACAGAGAGGUUGCAUGGUUCUGCGUUCUGGAGUUCUUGCUGAUAGAGGCCGUUCAGUCUCCUUACAUUACUUCCUAGACUUCCUUCCCGUUAUUGAAGGUCUGAGUGUGGCCUUGUGCUUUCUGUUUUAGGUCUCAGGCUGUGACUUCUGAAUGUUGCUUUUGCCACCCUGAAGUGUGGCUGGCCUCCCAAUCCCCUGUUGUUGCUAGUGGAUAUGAAGUGUGGCCAGUUAGAGAGGAAUGAGUUUCCAUUUCUGCUAGCGUUUCUUCCUGUGCUUUGGUGUCAGGAAACCUAGCAGCCACUGUUGCCCAGACAGCGUUUCUACCCGUGCUUCUGCUACUCGGAUGUGCCCAAGUGAACCGCAAGGGUGGAGAUAAGCUGAGGCUGAGCCUGUGUUCUCUCCAAGUGCUGGCAAGGUUGUGUUGGGAUUUCUCUGUUGCAUCUAUAGAUGGCGGCCACUUUCUGACUGUACUGUAAGGCAGCUUCCUGAUCACAGCUGAGGAAGCAGGUGUCAUGGUGGCCCGGGAGUCACUCCUGAAACCUCGCUCAACUCAGCGCCCAUAUCCGUGGCUUUCUUGGCAAAUUUUGUAAGUCAUUUAAUACCCCUGCUUUAACUUGCUUGAGUGAAUUUUCUUCCCGACACUGACCCUUAAUCAAAAUAGAGGGCGAUUGGGCAAGGACAUUAAUCCCUCAGUGCUCAGCAGGAUGCCCAGAGCAAUCAGUCAGUCAGCAGGGGUUCCACACACAGCCUUAGGCUGGGUGUUCCAGGAUUCUCUGCCAGGCCGGACCCUGUCUGCCUCUGUGCCUUGCGUCUGCCCUUCUCACUGCAUGGGAUGGUCUGUUCUCCACCUUCCUGGUCCUCUUUACUCAGCUGGAAGCUGUUUUUCCUCCUCUGAACUCCCUGAGCCCUGAGCACACUUCUCAUG